rnacentral:rRNA from 1 species
AGCCCCGGGCUCAACUCCCGGAUUGCAUUUGAAACUGGCUUACUAAAGUGGAAGAAAAGAAAGCGGAAUUCCUAAUGGAACGGUGAAAUGCGUAAAUAUUAAGAAGAACACCAGUGGCGAAAGCGGCUUUCUGGACUGGAACUGACGCUGAAGCACCAAAGCGUGGGGAGCGAACAGGAUUAAAUACCCUGGUAAUCCACGCCGUAAACGAUGAAUGCUAAGUGUCCGGGUCUUAUGAUCUCCGUGCUGAAGUCCACGCAUUAAGCACUCCCCCUGGGGAGUACGUUCGCAAGAAUGAAACUCAAGGAAUUGACGG